GCAUAUCAAUAAGCGGAGGAAAAGAAACCCAACAGGGAUUGCCCCAGUAACGGCGAGUGAAGCGGCAACAGCUCAAAUUUGAAAUCUGGCUCUCAGGGCCCGAGUUGUAAUUUGUAGAGGAUGCUUUUGGCGAGGUGCCUUCCGAGUUCCCUGGAACGGGACGCCACAGAGGGUGAGAGCCCCGUAUGGUCGGACACCGAGCCUCUGUAAAGCUCCUUCGACGAGUCGAGUAGUUUGGGAAUGCUGCUCAAAAUGGGAGGUAUAUGUCUUCUAAAGCUAAAUAUUGGCCAGAGACCGAUAGCGCACAAGUAGAGUGAUCGAAAGAUGAAAAGCACUUUGAAAAGAGGGUUAAAAAGUACGUGAAAUUGUUGAAAGGGAAGCGCCUAUGACCAGACUUGCGCCCGGUGAAUCACCCAGCGUUCUCGCUGGUGCACUUUGCCGGGCACAGGCCAGCAUCAGUUCAGCGCGGGGGAGAAAGGCUUCGGGAAUGUGGCUCCCUCGGGAGUGUUAUAGCCCGCUGCGUAAUGCCCUGCGCCGGACUGAGGUACGCGCAUUGCAAGGAUGCUGGCGUAAUGGUCAUCAGCGACCCGUCUUGAAACACGGACCAAGGAGUCGUCUUCGUAUGCGAGUGUUCGGGUGUCAAACCCCUACGCGUAAUGAAAGUGAACGUAGGUGAGAGCUUCGGCGCAUCACCGACCGAUCCUGAUGUUCUCGGAUGGAUUUGAGUAAGAGCAUACGGGGCCGGACCCGAAAGAAGGUGAACUAUGCCUGUAUAGGGUGAAGCCAGAGGAAACUCUGGUGGAGGCUCGCAGCGGUUCUGACGUGCGAAUCGAUCGUCAAAUAUGGGCAUGGGGGGCGAAAGACUAAUCGAACCUUCUAGUAGCUGGUUUCCGCCGAAG
rnacentral:rRNA from 1 species